CAACUUUGAGGGUUUAGAGC
rnacentral:snRNA from 1 species